rfam:Salmo salar isolate Sally breed double haploid chromosome ssa12, whole genome shotgun sequence.
CUCUCAACUGAUUGUAAGUUGCUCUGGAUAAGAGUGUCUGCUAAAUGACUAUAA